GGCGAGUGGCGAACGGGUGAGUAACAUAUCGGAACGUACCGAGCAGUGGGGGAUAACUAAUCGAAAGAUUAGCUAAUACCGCAUAUCUUCUGAGGAAGAAAGCAGGGGACCAUUUGGCCUUGCGCUGUUUGAGCGGCCGAUAUCUGAUUAGCUAGUUGGUGGGGUAAAGGCCUACCAAGGCGACGAUCAGUAGCGGGUCUGAGAGGAUGAUCCGCCACACUGGGACUGAGACACGGCCCAGACUCCUACGGGAGGCAGCAGUGGGGAAUUUUGGACAAUGGGCGCAAGCCUGAUCCAGCCAUGCCGCGUGUCUGAAGAAGGCCUUCGGGUUGUAAAGGACUUUUGUCAGGGAAGAAAAGGGCGGGGUUAAUACCCCUGUCUGAUGACGGUACCUGAAGAAUAAGCACCGGCUAACUACGUGCCAGCAGCCGCGGUAAUACGUAGGGUGCGAGCGUUAAUCGGAAUUACUGGGCGUAAAGCGGGCGCAGACGGUUACUUAAGCAGGAUGUGAAAUCCCCGGGCUCAACCUGGGAACUGCGUUCUGAACUGGGUGACUAGAGUGUGUCAGAGGGAGGUAGAAUUCCACGUGUAGCAGUGAAAUGCGUAGAGAUGUGGAGGAAUACCGAUGGCGAAGGCAGCCUCCUGGGAUAACACUGACGUUCAUGCCCGAAAGCGUGGGUAGCAAACAGGAUUAGAUACCCUGGUAGUCCACGCCCUAAACGAUGUCGAUUAGCUGUUGGGCAGCAUGACUGCUUAGUAGCGAAGCUAACGCGUGAAAUCGACCGCCUGGGGAGUACGGUCGCAAGAUUAAAACUCAAAGGAAUUGACGGGGACCCGCACAAGCGGUGGAUGAUGUGGAUUAAUUCGAUGCAACGCGAAGAACCUUACCUGGUCUUGACAUGUACGGAACCCUCCAGAGACGGAGGGGUGCCUUCGGGAGCCGUAACACAGGUGCUGCAUGGCUGUCGUCAGCUCGUGUCGUGAGAUGUUGGGUUAAGUCCCGCAACGAGCGCAACCCUUGUCAUUAGUUGCCAUCAUUAAGUUGGGCACUCUAAUGAGACUGCCGGUGACAAGCCGGAGGAAGG
rnacentral:rRNA from 1 species